rnacentral:tRNA from 1 species
GGGGCAGUAGCUCAGCUGGUUAGAGCAGGGGACUCAUAAUCCCUGGGUCGCGGGUUCAAGUCCUGCCUGCCCUACCG